CAUGGACAAACAAUGUUUAUUUCCUUCGUUAUCUAUUCGAUUUAACAUGUUAGAAAAAUAGGCUGCGUCUGAUCUAUGCUUUCAUGGAUAUUACAUAGGCUACAUCUAAUGUAAGCAUUUAACAUUUUAAAGUGAAUUGUUCUGCUACCAAACCCAGGUUUGGCUGCUCACCACUUGAAAGUCAAUAUUCGAGAGACGAGUAUUGGUUAGAAAGGAAAGGUUGCUUUAUUCAAGAGGCCGACAACCUGAUGAGAAAGUGGACUCAUGUCCAAAAACCAGCUCCAAAGAUUCUGCCAGAACAUAAACGUUGUUAAAGAGAGAAACGGAAGUUAAUCAUUUGGGGAAGGGGGUCAGAGUCUUUGUUAUUUUCCACUGUGCUCACACUUUCUUCUGAUUGGCUGGUGGUGGGGUAGGAGGGUGGUCUUCCCAGAAUCUUGUACUCAGCCUGAAGUUACCUUCCUCCAUCUGGGUGGGGCCUUAGUUCUUACAGAGGACUCAAAGGCAUUGUUAUAUAUAUUCCUUGAGGAGGAACGAGGACCCUGCCCUAUUGCUGCAUUGAGCAGCUUCUUGACUGCUCCACCCUUGUCUCUGCAUUCCCUCACCUCCCUGACUAGCAACCGUUUGAAACUGCCCUUAGAAACUCAGUCAAGGAGGCUGAAUGAAGCCUAUUUCCUACAAACAAGAAAUGGGGAAGACAGGAAUAGUUUGUACCCAGAAAGGCCCCACAGGGUCCUGCUUGGUUUCAGAAUUAGGGAAAAAGUUAAAUUAAUGAUAGUGUAGCUGAUGUACAGACGUGUCAAUAAUUAUAAAAAUGGUAUACUGGAAAAUGACCGAAAUUUGGAAUACCAUGGGACAGAUAAUCUAUGCUUUCUUCUGUGUUCUAGUCUCUAUUCUAGCAUCUGUCUCCUGGAAUACUGCAAGCAACUUCCACCAGGUCAAGAUGUUGCCGAUAGAUGCAACCGGUGUUCCAGGUUCUUGUCCUGUCCCAGAAAGAAUUCAGAGGCAAGACUUAGAGGUUAAAAAAGAGGGUGGUAAAACGUUGGAAGGACUCCAGUGCUGGCAGGGGUGCAGGGAGACCCUGACUGACCAUCGACGGGAAGCUCAUCCAUUCUACAACGAUGACUGAGCUGGAGCUAUGGCAGUGAGCCCCACCUAGAAGGUCGGUACCUACCCCCCAGGGAGGGUGACAAAGACCAGAUCCCUGCAAGCUGUGCAUCAGAGUAAGAAUUCUCCAGAUCCACCCAAGUGAGUCCUGUCCAACUGCUGUCGCACUGGCGGUGCCGUCACAGAAGACACAAGAUGUAGGAUCCCUCCACCUCUUGUUAUUUUGUUCCUCUGCUUCCUUCAGUAUUUGCACCUUAAUGUCAGAUGCCUUAAGCACUCAUUAUUUCAUGAGACUGUAAUUCAUGUGUAUUAAAACUGUGGAAGUGUUCCGAUUACCUUUGCAAGAUGCCCUGGAUCCUGAUUUAUGCUUGUCGCCACACUGACUCUCUAAAAGGUGUGUGGCCCAUUUGGAUGUAAAGUGUGGAUUCUCAGAUAUUUGAGUUAGAACUCCUGGCAACAAGGAUGCAGUGCCUAACCCUCCCCUGAUUUUCACCUCCUUGUAUCCUCAGUCCUCUCCCAUUUCCUCUCCCUUUUCUGCCAUGUAUUUACAGGUUUCCUUUAUCUUAAAAAAUAUUAUUAACACACACACACACUCAUGCACAAAAAAAAUCCCUUCAUUUAAUCAUGUUGGCCUCUGUCCAGCUCCUCCUCGUCCCUUUGCUCCCAUCUUCUGGACUCAAGAAACAGCUAAGUCACAGGAUGCUGGA